ACGGAAGAAGGGGAUUACCAGGUAAAACUCCGCAACCUGGUACGUUUCCUGAGUGAUGGGGACAGGGCCAAGGUAUCCUUGCGAUUCCGCGGCCGUGAGAUGGCGCAUCAGGAGCUGGGCAUGGAGCUGUUGAAGCGGGUCGAAGGCGACCUGCUUGAAUACGGCUCCGUUGAACAGCAUCCGAAGAUGGAAGGACGCCAGCUGAUCAUGGUCAUCGCCCCCAAGAAAAAGAAGUAACCACCAGGGCACGGCAGGCCUUGCGGUUAUGUUUAUCAAUUGAAUGUGGAGUACCCGAACAUGCCAA
rnacentral:misc_RNA from 1 species